rnacentral:rRNA from 1 species
GACGAACGCUGGCGGCGUGCCUAAUACAUGCAAGUUGAACGCUUGAUUUUCACCGAAGCUUGCUUCACCGAAAAUCAAGAGUAGCGAACGGGUGAGUAACGCGUGGGUAACCUACCUUUCAGCGGGGGAUAACUAUUGGAAACGAUAGCUAAUACCGCAUAACAAUGUUGGAUGCAUAUUCGACAUUUGAAAGUACCAAAUGGUACACUGAGAGAUGGACCCGCGUUGUAUUAGCUAGUUGGUAGUGUAAUGGACUACCAAGGCGAUGAUACAUAGCCGACCUGAGAGGGUGAUCGGCCACAUUGGGACUGAGACACGGCCCAAACUCCUACGGGAGGCAGCAGUAGGGAAUCUUCGGCAAUGGACGAAAGUCUGACCGAGCAACGCCGCGUGAGUGAAGAAGGUUUUCGGAUCGUAAAACUCUGUUGUUAGAGAAGAACGUUGCAUAGAGUGGAAAAUUAUGCAAGUGACGGUAUCUAACCAGAAAGGGACGGCUAACUACGUG